AGUAACGCGUGGGCAACCUGCCCCCGCACUGGGGGACAACAGCCGGAAACGGCUGCUAAUACCGCAUAUGCGCACAGCUUUGCAUGAAGCAGUGUGGAAAACUCCGGUGGUGCGGGAUGGGCCCGCGUCUGAUUAGCUGGUUGGCGGGGCAACGGCCCACCAAGGCGACGAUCAGUAGCCGGCCUGAGAGGGUGGACGGCCACAUUGGGACUGAGACACGGCCCAGACUCCUACGGAAGGCAGCAG
rnacentral:rRNA from 1 species